UACGAAGGGGGCUAGCGUUGCUCGGAAUCACUGGGCGUAAAGCGCACGUAGGCGGCUUGUUAAGUCAGGGGUGAAAUCCUGGAGCUCAACUCCAGAACUGCCUUUGAUACUGGCGAGCUUGAGUUCGGGAGAGGUGAGUAGAACUGCGAGUGUAGAGGUGAAAUUCGUAGAUAUUCGCAAGAACACCAGUGGCGAAGGCGGCUCACUGGCCCGGUACUGACGCUGAGGCGCGAAAGCGUGGGGAGCAAACAGG
rnacentral:rRNA from 1 species